rnacentral:ncRNA from 10 species
CCUCAGCAUUAAGAGAGGGCUGACGCCCCGCCAACCUGCAGCUGUGCAAGGUGGUCUCCCGCCAGGGAAAUGUGGCCUUCAAGGCAACAACAGCGUCGGCC